rnacentral:misc_RNA from 1 species
UACGGAGGGGGCGAGCGUUGUUCGGAUUUACUGGGCGUAAAGGGUCCGUAGGCGGUUGCGUAAGUCUGGUGUGAAAGCUUCGCCGCUCAACGGGAAGCGGUCACUGGAUACUGCGUAACUUGAGUGUGGUAGAGGCAAGCGGAAUUCCUGGUGUAGCGGUGGAAUGUGUAGAUAUCAGGAAGAACAUCGGUGGCGAAGGCGGCUUGCUGGGCCAUUACUGACGCUGAGGGACGAAAGCGUGGGGAGCAAACGGG